ACUCCGGUGUUUUAGUGGUUAGAGCGUCCCCUUGAAUGAGGGUGGUCGUGGGUUCGAUCCACAGCCGAAGGA